rnacentral:rRNA from 1 species
AACUGAAACAAAAGAUUAGACAAUUCAAUCAAUUUCUAAGAUCUAAACUUCAAAGUUAACUUAAAUGUAAAAAGACAUUUAUAAAAAAGAUAGACGAUGAGACCCUAUUGAACUUAACUUUAGUUAAACUGGGGCAGUUAAUUAAUUAAUAUUUUAAUAAAAAAACUAAAAAUAUAGACCUAAUAACAUUAAUUAUAUAAUCAAGUUACCAGAGGGAUAACAGCAUAAUUUUUAUUUAAAGUCCUUAUUAAAGUAAAAGAUUGUGACCUCGAUGUUGAAUUAAAAUCCUUUACUCACGUAAUAGUAAUAAAAGGAAGUCUGUUCGACUUUUAAAAAUUUACA